rnacentral:rRNA from 1 species
UACGUAGGGAGCAAGCGUUGUCCGGAAUCAUUGGGCGUAAGGCGCGCGUAGGCGGCCCUGUAAGUCCGUUGUGAAAGUCAAAGGCUCAACCUUUGAAAGCCGAUGGAUACUGCAGGGCUAGAGUCCGGAAGAGGCGAGUGGAAUUCCUGGUGUAGCGGUGGAAUGCGCAGAUAUCAGGAGGAACACCAAUAGCGAAGGCAGCUCGCUGGGACGGUACUGACGCUAAGGCGCGAAAGCGUGGGGAGCGAACAGG